rnacentral:lncRNA from 1 species
GGGGGUGGGGCUGGCCAACUUCGGCCGCCGGACUCGGAAUGCCGCGAGACUUUGCGAGGGGCCUCCGUGUGCUAAAAAUAUGCCGCGGCCAAAGCCGCGCCCAAAAAUAACCGCCCGAAGGCCGGGGCGCCAAGUUCGUCCGGCCGAAAAAGGCCACAAAAACGGGUGGGCUAUAGCCUUGGGGGGUGGGGCUGGCCCUCUUCGUCCGCCGGACUCGGAAUGCCGCGAGACUUUGCGAGGGGCCUCCGUGUGCCAAAAAUAGGGCGUGGGCAAAGCCGUGCACAAAAAUAACCGCGCGAAGGCUGGGGCGCCAAGUACGUCCAGCGGAAAAAGGCCACAAAAACGCGUGGGUUAUAGCCUUGGGGGGUGGGGCUGGCCAACUUCGUCCGCCGGACUCGGAAUGGCGCGAGACUUUACGAGAUGCCUCCGUGUGCCGAAAAUAGGCUGCGGGCACAGCCGCGCCCAAAAAUAACCGCCCGAAGGCCGGGGCGCCAAGUUCGUCCAGCGGAAAAAGGCCACAAAAACGGGUGGGCUACAGCCUUGGGGGGUCGGGCUGGCCUACUUCGUCCGCCGAACUCGGAAUGGCGCGAGACUUUGCAAGGCACCUCCGUGUGCCAAAAAUAGGCCACGGGCACAGCCGCUCCCAAAAAUAACCGCCCGAAGGCCGGGGCGCCAAGUUCGUCCAGCGGAAAAAGGCCCAAAAAACGGGUGGGCUAUAGCCUAGGGGGGUGGGGCUGGCCAACUUCGUCCGCCGGACUCGGAAUGGCGCGAGACUUUGCGAGGCACCUCCGUGCACAAUAAAUAGGCCGCGGGCACAGCCCGCGCCCAAAAAUAACAGCCCGACGCCCCGGGGCGCCAAGUUCAUCAGGCGGAAAAAGACCACAAAAAUGGGUGGGCGAUAUCCUUCGGGGGUGGGGCUGGCCAACUUCAUCCGCCGGACUCGAAAUGGCGCGAGACUUUGCGAGGCACCUCCGUGUGCUAAAAAUAGGCCGCGGUCACAGCAGCGCCCAAAAAUAACCACCCGAAGCCCGGGGCGCCAAGUUCGUCCAGCGGAAAAAGGCCACAAAAACGGGUGGGCUAUAGCCUUGGGGGGUGGGGCUGGCCAACUUCGUCCGCCGGACUCGGAAUGGCCCGAGACUUUGCGAGGCGCCUCCGUGUGCCAAAAAUAUACCGCGGGCACACCCUCGCCCAAAAAUAACUCCCCGAAGGCCGGGGCGCCAAGUUUNNNNNNNNNNNNNNNNNNNNNNNNNNNNNNNNNNNNNNNNNNNNNNNNNNNNNNNNNNNNNNNNNNNNNNNNNNNNNNNNNNNNNNNNNNNNNNNNNNNNNNNNNNNNNNNNNNNCCAAAAAUAGGCCGCGGGCACAGCUGCGCCCAAAAAUAACCGCCCGAAGGCCGGGGCGCCAAGUUCGUCCAGCGGAAAAAGACCACAAAAACGGGUGCGCUAUAGCCUUGUGGGGUGGGGCUGGCCCACUUUUCUCCGCCGGACUCGGAAUGGCACGAGACUUUGCAAGGCGUCUCCGUGCGCCAAAAAUAGGCCGCGGGAACAGCCGCGCCCAAAAAUAACUGGCCGAAGGCCGGGGCGCCAAGUUCGUCCAGCGGAAAAAGCCCACAAAAACGGGUGGGCUAUAGCCUUGGGGGGUGGGGCUGGCCAACUUCGUCCGCCGGACUCGGAAUGGCGCGAGACCUUAUGAGGUGCCUCCAUGUGCCAAAAAUAGGCUGCGGACACAGCCUCACCCAAAAAUAACCGACCGAAGGCCAGGGCGCCAAGUUCGUCCAGCGGAAAAAGGCCAGAAAAACGGGUGGGCUAUAGCCUUGGGGGGUGGGGCUGGCCAACUUCGACCGCCGGACUCGAAUUGGCGCGAGACUUUUCGAGGCACCUCCGUGUGCCAAAAAUAGGCCGCGGGCACAGCCGCGCCAAAAUGUAACCGCCCGGAGACCGGGCCUCCAUGAUCGUCCAGCGGAAAAAGCCCACAAAAACGGGUGGGCACGCCUUGGGGGGUGGGGCUGGCCGACUUCGUCCGCCGGACUCGGAAUGGCGCGAGACUUUGCGAGGCACCUCUGUGUGCCAAAAAUAGGCCGCGGGCACAGCCACGCCCAAAAAUAACUGCCCGAAGGCCGGGGCACCAAGUUCGUCCAGCGGAAAAAGCCCACAAAAACGGGUGGGCUAUAGCCUUGGGGGGUGGGGCUGGCCGACUUCGUCCGCCGGGCUCGGAAUGGAGCGAGACUUUGCGAGGCACCUCUGUGUGCGAAAAAUAGGCAGCGAACACAGCCUCACCCAAAAAUAACCGACCGAAGGCCAGGGCGCCAAGUUCGUCUAGCGGAAAAGGGCCACAAAAACGGGUGGGCUAUAGCCUUGGGGGGUGGGGCUGGCCCACUUCGUCCGCCGGACUCGGAAUGGCGCGAGACUUUGCGAGGCACCUUCGUGUGGCAAAAAUAGGCCGCGGGCACAGCCGCGCCUAAAAAUAACCGCCCGAAGGCCGGGGCGCCAAUUUCGUCCAGUGGAAAAAGCCCACAAAAAUGGGUGGGCCAUAGCUUUGGGGGGUGGGGCGGGCCCACUUCGUCCGCCGGACUCGGAAUGGCGCGAGACUUUGCGUGCGUCCUCCGUGUGCCAAAAAUAGGCCGCGGGCAAAGCCGCGCCCAAAAAUAACCGCCGGAAGGCCGGGGCGCCAAGUUCGUCCAGCGGAAAAAGGCCACAAAAACGGGUGGGUUAUAGCCUUGGGGGGUGGGACUGGCCAACUUCGUCCGCCGGACUCGGAAUGGCGCGAGACUUUGCGAGGCACCUCCGUGUGCCAAAAAUAGGCCGCGGGCACAGCUGCGCCCAAAAAUAACCGCCCGAAGGCCGGGGCGCCAAGUUCGUCCAGCGGAAAAAGACCACAAAAACGGGUGGGCUAUAGCCUGGGGGGGUGGGGCUGCCCGACUUCGUCCGCCGGACUCGGAAUGGCGCGAGACUUUGCGAGGCACCUCCGUCUGCCAAAAAUAGGCCGCGGGCAAAGCCGCGCCCAAAAAUAACCGCCCGAAGGCCGGGGCGGCAAGUUCGUCCAGCGGAAAAAGGCCACAAAAACGGGUGGGCUAUAGCCUUGGGGGGUGGGGCUGGCCAACUUCGUCCGCCGGACUCGGAAUGCCGCGAGACUUUGCGAGGGGCCUCCGUGUGCCAAACCUAGGCCGCGGACAAAGCCACGCCCAAAAAUAACCGCCCGAAGGCCGGGGCACCAAGUUCGUCCAGCGGAAAAAGGCUAGAAAAACGGGUGGGCUAUAGCCUUGGGGGGUGGGGCUGGCCAGCUUCAUCCGCCGGACUCGGAAUGGUGCGAGACUUUGCAAGGCGCCUCCGUGUACGAAUAAUAGGCCACGGCCACAGCCGCGCCCAAAUAUAACCGCCCGAAGGCCGGGGCGCCAUGUUCGUCCAGCGGAAAAAGCCCACAAAAACGGGUGGGCUAUAGCCUUGGGGGGUGGGGCUGGCCAGCUUCGUCCGCAGGACUCGGAAUGGCGCAAGACUUUGCGAGGCACCUCCGUGUGCCAAAAAUAGGCCGCCGGCACAGCCGCGCCCAAAAAUAACUGCCCGAAGGCCGGGGCGCCAAGUUCGUCCAGCGGAAAAAGCCCACAAAAACGGGUGGGCUAUAGCCUUGGGGGGUGGGGCUGGCCAACUUCGUCCGCCGGACUCGGAAUGGCGCGAGACUUUGCGAGGGGCCUCCGUGUGCGAAAAACAGGCUGCGGGCAAAGCCGCGCCCAAAAAUAACCGCCCGAAGGCCGGGGCGGCAAGUUCGUCCAGCGGAAAAAGGCCACAAAAACGGGUGGGCUAGAGCCUUGGGGGGUGGGGCUGGCAAACUUCGUCCGCCGGACUCGGAAUUUCGUGAGACAUUGCGAGGGGCCUCCGUGUGCCAAACCUAGGCCGCGGGCAAAGCCGCGCCCAAAAAUAACCGCCCGAAGGCCGGGGCGCCAAGUUCGUCCAGCGGAAAAAGCCUACAAAAACGGGUGGGCUAUAGCCUUGGGGGGUGGGGCUGGCCGACUUCGUCCGCCGGACUCGGAAUUUCGUGAGACUUUGCGAGGGGCCUCCGUGUGCCAAACCUAGGCCGCGGGCAAAGCCGCGCCCAAAAAUAACCGCCCGAAGGCCGGGGCGCCAAGUUCGUCCAGCGGAAAAAGCCCACAAAAACGGGUGGGCUAUAGCUUUGGGGGGUGGGGCGGGCCCAC